ACCUUACGGUUUGGGCAUCACAUGAUUUUAUCCUUAAACCUUUGCCACACUACAUAUAAGGGCUCACCACUAUAUCGAUGAAAUUUUGUGAUUUCAUCCCUUAAUUU